rnacentral:rRNA from 1 species
UACGGGGGGGGCAAGCGUUGUUCGGAUUUACUGGGCGUAAAGGGCGCGUAGGCGGCCACUGCAAGUCGGUUGUGAAAUCUCCGGGCUUAACCCGGAAAGGUCAAUCGAUACUGCAGGGCUAGAGUGCAGAAGGGGCAACUGGAAUUCUCGGUGUAGCGGUGAAAUGCGUAGAUAUCGAGAGGAACACCAGUGGCGAAAGCGGCUACCUGGCCCAUUCUUGACGCUGAGGCGCGAAAGCUAGGGGAGCAAACGGG